AAAAGAAAUCAAGUUUAAUUUCUUCCUUCUCUUUACCCUUUAAUGAUUUUUGAAGGACUUGGAUUUUUUUAAAAAUUUCCUCCCUUUUAUCCAUUACCUUGUGGUGCUGUUUGCUUUUCUCAAAUAUUCUCUUGACCCUAGAGCAGGUUGUCAAACUCCCUUUUCUUUUUUUUUAACCUAGAAACGGUGGAGGGUAAAAAUGUAUCGUUAAUCAAAUAGUAAAACGGAAAGAUUUUACAACUUAAUUAAAAU
rnacentral:misc_RNA from 1 species